GCUUGUGUAGCUCAGUUGGAUAGAGUGCUUCCCUCCGAAGGAAGAGGUCGUGCGUUCGACUCGCAUCACAAGUA
rnacentral:tRNA from 2 species